rnacentral:rRNA from 1 species
UACGAAGGGGGCUAGCGUUGCUCGGAAUUACUGGGCGUAAAGCGCACGUAGGCGGAUCUUUAAGUCAGGGGUGAAAUCCUGGAGCUCAACUCCAGAACUGCCUUUGAUACUGCGGUGCUUGAGGACUGGAGAGGAGACUGGAAUUUACGGUGUAGCAGUGAAAUGCGUAGAGAUCGUAAGGAAGACCAGUGGCGAAGGCGGGUCUCUGGACAGUUCCUGACACUGAGGCACGAAGGCCAGGGGAG